UCCGGCCUUCCUUCUCGCUCCUCGAGGGCCGGCGCGGCGUUCGUUCCCGGUUCGAGGGUCUCGAGCUCCCGAUUACGCGCAUUACGGUUCCAUCCCCGCCUCGAUUGGCCGGCGACGGACGUCCGUCGAUCGGAUUUAGCCCCCGCGGUUUCUGAUGUCUGGCGGUUUCUGGCGAUUCGUCUUUGCAGGUAGCACGACGCCGGGACUUACGACGCGAGGACGAAGACCGCCGGUCCGAACGGCUCGAUUCGGAACAAGGAAGAGUACUCCCACGGUGCCAAUGCUGGCUUGAAGAUCGCUCUUGAUUUCUGUGCUAGCAGGAGUUGUUGCAGUAGAAGUCACUGGAGGUCACACAGUCGACUUUGUUCCCGGAAGAAAGGAUUCAAAAGUUUCUCCAAACGAAGGAAGACUUCCAGAUGCUAAUCAAGGUAUUCUGUUGUGUUAACUUUCCCUUUGUUGUCUGGCCUCCCUUCAUUUCCCUCCAUCCCUCCCUCCAAAUAUUAUGGGCCACUGUGCUUCUUAUUGCUCCAGGCAAAACGUUAAAUAGCUAUUUAUUGUUUUCCUUAAGGUUGCUGCCUGUUAAUCUUGAAAUGUAUGUCCAUCUCAUCUGAAUGUCAAUUAGUAAGU